AUUCCAGCUCCAAUAGCGUAUAUUAAAGUUGUUGCAGUUAAAAAGCUCGUAGUUGGAUUUCUGGUGGGGCUGUCGGCCUGGCUCCGAAAGGGGUCGUGGUUAGUACACGCCUGGCCAUCCUCGGGGGAAGCUUUGCUGGCAUUAAGUUGUCGGCGGAGUGACGCUCGUCGUUUACUGUGAACAAAUUAGAGUGUUCAAAGCAGGCUUAGGCCGUUGAAUACAUUAGCAUGGAAUAAUGAGAUAGGACUUUGGUGGUCUAUUUUGUUGGUUUGCACGCCGAAGUAAUGAUUAAUAGGGGCGGUUGGGGGUAUUCGUAUUCAAUUGUCAGAGGUGAAAUUCUUGGAUUUAUGGAAGACGAACUACUGCGAAAGCAUUUACCAAGGAUGUUUUCAUUA
rnacentral:rRNA from 1 species